CGCUGGCGGCGUGCCUAACACAUGCAAGUCGAACGGGGUAAGGAGAGCUUGCUUUCCUUACUUAGUGGCGAACGGGUGAGUAACGCGUGAGAAACCUGCCUCUCAGUGGGGGACAACAGUUGGAAACGACUGCUAAUACCGCAUAAUGCAAUUGAGUCGCAUGGCUCUGAUUGCCAAAGAUUUAUCGCUCUAAGAUGGCCUCGCGUCUGAUUAGCUAGUUGGCGGGGUAACGGCCUACCAAGGCGACGAUCAGUAGCCGGUCUGAGAGGAUGAACGGCCACAUUGGGACUGAGAUACGGCCCAGACUCCUACGGGAGGCAGCAGGUGGGGAAUAUUGGGCAAUGGGGGAAACCCUGACCCAGCAACGCCGCGUGAAGGAAGAAGGCCUUCGGGUUGUAAACUUCUUUAGCAGGGACGAAGGACGUGACGGUACCUGCAGAAAAGCAACGGCUAACUACGUG
rnacentral:rRNA from 1 species